GGGCUAGUAGCUCAGUGGUAGAGCAUUCGUCUUAUAAGCGAACGGUCGAAGGUUCGAAUCCUUCCUAGCCCA
rnacentral:tRNA from 1 species